rnacentral:rRNA from 1 species
AGGACUAACGCUGGCGGCGUGCCUAACACAUGCAAGUCGAACGAGAGUAGCAAUACUCUAGUGGCAGACGGGUGAGUAACACGUGGUCAACCUACCUUUAAGUGGGGGAUAACUAGCCGAAAGGUUAGCUAAUACCGCAUACGAUCUUCGCGUGGCAUCACAUGAAGAUGAAAGGAGCAAUCCGCUGAAAGACGGGACCGCGUCCCAUUAGCCAGUUGGUGGGGUAACGGCCUACCAAAGCAACGAUGGGUAGCUGGCUUGAGAGAGCGACCAGCCACACUGGGACUGAGACACGGCCCAGACUCCUACGGGAGGCAGCAGUGAGGAAUUUUCCGCAAUGGGCGAAAGCCUGACGGAGCGACGCCGCGUGUGGGAUGAAGGCCUUCGGGUCGUAAACCACUGUCGAGGGGGAAGAUAGUUGACGGUACCCUUGGAGGAAGCCCGGCUAACUACGUGCCAGCAGCCGC